AUGCUCUGGUUUCUCUUCAGAUCGUGUAAAUCUUUCACCUUUUACUCAAGAUUUCUGUGGAAAAGAAGAGCGAACGGCAGACAAGGAAAUUUGAGACUGGCUGGCCAUACCAGUU
ensembl:snRNA U5 U5 spliceosomal RNA